UCUCCGUUGGUGAACCAGCGGAGGGAUCAUUACCGAGUUAUACAACUCAUCAACCCUGUGAACAUACCUAAAACGUUGCUUCGGCGGGAACAGACGGCCCUGUAACAACGGGCCGCCCCCGCCAGAGGACCCCUAACUCUGUUUUUAUAAUGUUUUUCUGAGUAAACAAGCAAAUAAAUUAAAACUUUCAACAACGGAUCUCUUGGCUCUGGCAUCGAUGAAGAACGCAGCGAAAUGCGAUAAGUAAUGUGAAUUGCAGAAUUCAGUGAAUCAUCGAAUCUUUGAACGCACAUUGCGCCCGCCAGUAUUCUGGCGGGCAUGCCUGUUCGAGCGUCAUUACAACCCUCAGGCCCCCGGGCCUGGCGUUGGGGAUCGGCGGAAGCCCCCUGUGGGCACACGCCGUCCCUCAAAUACAGUGGCGGUCCCGCCGCAGCUUCCAUUGCGUAGUAGCUAACACCUCGCAACUGGAGAGCGGCGCGGCCAUGCCGUAAAACACCCAACUUCUGAAUGUUGACCUCGAAUCAGGUAGGAAUACCCGCUGAACUUAA
rnacentral:rRNA from 1 species